CGGCCGCGGUAUUCUGACCGUGCAAAGGUAGCGCAAUCACUUGUCUUUUAAAUGAAGGCCUGUAUGAAUGGCAUAACGAGGGCUUAACUGUCUCCUUUUUCCAGUCAAUGAAAUUGAUCUCCCCGUGCAGAAGCGGGGGUGAAACCAUAAGACGAGAAGACCCUAUGGAGCUUUAGACACUAAAGUAGCCCUUGUCAAACCCCCUAAAACAAAAAAUCGAACAAAAAGCCCCCCUACCCUAAUGUCUUUGGUUGGGGCGACCGCGGGGAAACAAAAAACCCCCAUGUGGAGAAAGAGAACCUCCCUCACAAACCAGAGCCACAGCUCUAAUUAACAGAAUAUCUGACCUUAAGAUCCGGCAAUGCCGAUCAACGGACCGAGUUACCCUAGGGAUAACAGCGCAAUCCCCUUUUAGAGCCCAUAUCGACAAGGGGGUUUACGACCUCGAUGUUGGAUCAGGACAUCCUAAUGGUGCAGCCGCUAUUAAGGGUUCGUUUGUUCAACGAUUAAAGUCCUACGUGAUCUG
rnacentral:rRNA from 1 species